rnacentral:lncRNA from 1 species
GCGCUGGGAUCUGACCACGCAAGGAGCACAUUCGCAUUUAACCUUGUAUACAAGAUUAUAACUAUUUUGCGUAAUAAGAUAUAAAAUUGCAAGCAAUAUAAUGGCAAUUCUGUAACUGCCCAGUGGGUUCACUUUGCCCGCUACCUAGACAGAGCCGAUUUCUCAAGACGGGGGGAAUAGCAAUAGAGAAGGAGGAGACAGGAGACAUCAAUCAACAUAUGUAAGAUGAACACUGGUUUGAUCCGGUACAACCUGAAGCAAAACAAUGAGGAUCUUAUAGAUGGUCCCUCCUUCCGUCUGGAUUCCUGUGUUAGGAUGAUACAGCACAGAGCUACCUCUCACCUGACCCAUGAUGAGAUGUAUAUAAAUGAGGAAGAAGAUUUUUGAGCCACUGAAAUUUGGAGGUUGUCUGUCACCACAGUUUAACCUAGCUCCCAUUGACUGAUGCAAGGCUGAAGAAUGAGUCCAAACUGGAUCUGGACAAGACAUGUGAAGAGCACUCCAGUCGGUGGUUUUGCAGCAACAGCAUUGCAUGUGGGUUUUAGGCUGAUGAUGCUCAACAGUGGACAAUUCUCUUCACCUGCCUGGGCCCCACUGCCCACCCUUCCAUACAGUGCAGGGUCACAGCUGAGCUCUCCAAGACACCUUGCAGGAUCUCAGCUUCUGAACUGUCAAGUGUCUUCUAGAUGAAGGCUUAGUCUCAUAGCCUUUGUGGCUUCCUCCAGGUAACACUUGGUUUUUU